UUCCUCUUCUCUAUUUGUAAUUUGAUUUUGUGAUUUGGUUUAGUUUUCUAGUCUUUUCUUUGUGUUAGUUUGUUAAUUAUUGCUUCUUAUAGAUUACAGUGAGGAGCAAUUUUAUGAUUUGUUGCUUAAAACUUCGAAUUUUGAAUUUAAAUGGAUUAAUGAGAGUUGAGGGGUUGCUAUAUUGUGUACAUGAUUAACAUUGUUGGAUGAUUUAGGCUUUAAAUAUAUGUUAUGUGUUUUAAUGUACUUGGUAGUUUUGUUUGUUCUAUGGUUUCUGAGUUUUGAUGGUUUGAGUUUGUAUAUCACAAUGGAAAUUUUGUUAGUGUGAUUCAUAAUUCUAUUUUCUGGAGUUAGAAUAUGUAGAAUAGAGUUUGGUGGAUUGAAAAUGAUUGUUUUCUGGAGUCAGAACAUAGACAUAGUGGAGUUUGGAGGACUGAAAAUUGGUGUUCCUAGAAUUGGAAAUUGUCUAUAUUGGUCAAGAUAUUGGUGUUCUACAUUGAACUAUAUAGGGGUUGAGUCGGUGUUUGUCUAUGAGAAUUCACAAUAUCUGUUCAUUCCUUGCUACUGUUGCAAUGGCGGUGGCUGCUCUUAUUGAGAUCAAAAGGGUUAAAGUUGCAGAAUUACAUGAAUUAGUAUAUGAUCCAAAUGCAAUAUUACCAAUAUCUGUUUUCUGGUUAAUCCCCCAAUUUAUAUUAACUGGUGCUGGAGAAGCAAUGAUAUAUGCAAGACAACUUUAUUUUCUCUUAAGAGAAUGCACAGGCUUGUUUUUAAGCACACUUUCCUUAGGGUUUUUCUUUGGUACAGUAAUAGUUUCUUUAGUGAACUCUCUAACUGCACAUUCUAAACCAUGGUUAGAAGACAACCUUAACGAAGGACACCUUUACAACUUCUAAUGGCUUCUGGGAAUUAUAAGCUUGAUUAACUUUGUAUUGUUCUUGUUCUGUGCAAAAUGGUAUAUGUACAAGGACAAAUGGCUUGAUGCUGAGGGUUUUGAAGUUGAAACGGAUGAAACUCCUGGACCAACCUGCCAUUGACAUUCAGCAUUGAUCAUUGAUCCAUCCACACCACUCAACCAGAUCAUCCUUUAAUUUGUUCACCAUAUCAAUAUCAUAUGCAGGAGCAAUGUUGUCACUGGUGUUGCGAAAGCAAUCAAGGACCAUUUUAAGAAAUAACCUCUAGUUAUUGUCAAUGUCAAGGGGAGAGCUAAAGGGACCUCUGUUCAGGAGGUGGUUUUAAAAUUGGAAGAAGAAACAGGCAGAGUUUUGGUAUCCCAGGGGCCAAGCAAUGUCAUUCUUUACAGAGGUUGGGGUGGUGGAGUGGAAACUGGCCAUGCUUCUAAUAAGGAGAAUCAUGAUAAACGAGCUGGUAUACCUUCAUUAGCUGUUGUCUCUCCAGAGCUGUUGGCAGCAAUGAGGCUUGAAUGUGGAUUGUCAAGCAGCUAAACAGAGAAGACAGAGCUUUAGCCUAGGUUUGGUACUUUGGUGUGAUUGUGGUGGCUUAAUCUGGAUUAGCUAUUGUCAAUUACACCAUAUUUUGUACUCUUUUGAAGUGCCUCCUAGACAUCAUUGGUCAAGAAAUUUCUUGCAAGAUUUUGGAGAAAGCAAGGAUUUCUCAUCUAUUCCGUAUGAGGUAAAAGUGAUUGAUUUAAUAAUUUCACCAAACUCUACCAUUUUGGAUUAUCCUGAUUCUGAAAUAAAUUGCUCAUGUCUGUUGAAGAAAAUGAACUAGUAAAAAGUACAUGGUUGGCACGUCAUUCUUGUUGUUGAAUAAGAUAAAAUAAGGGUUGGUGGUUAUUUUACAAGUUGUGUUAUUUUAAAUAUCAUUUUAUUUAAAAUAAAAUUAUAUAUCAUAAACUCAUAUAUAUGUUCAUGAUUGGAGUAAUAAGGACCAAUAAACUAAAAAGUCAUGCAUUUUGUAUGUAUGAAUUAAUUUUUGUGAAAUAAGUAUGGAGCUGAUAUAUGUGAGAUAUAAACAAAGUAUUCAUAUUAACUCAGUUUAAUUCUGCUUCCCUAAAUCGCCACAUAUACCGCACUUGUCAUGGAAACGGUAUCAACUUUGGAGAUGGAUUUGUGGAGGUUUUGGCAGCUAUACAAACACAAGGAGAAACUGGAAAGAACUGGUUUCAAAUAACAGGUUUUAUAUGGCUGUUUGAGGCAGGGGUAGAUCAUUUUCUAGUUCUUUUACUUCUGCUUGGGAACCUAUAAAAUAAAAAGUAUUGGACUGUGAGAGAAGGGUAUGUGCUGAAUUUUUGUAAUAUAUACAGGAUGCGAGAAAUAAGAAUAUCGAAAAUGUCCUGAUAUUGUCUGGUGAUGAGCUCUACAGAAUGGACUAUGGAUCUUGUGCAGAAUCACGUUAGUUUCUUGUGUUCUUGUGGGUGAGAGGUAUGCUUCCACAGUUCCACAAAGACACUUCUAUCAUUGUUGUUUAUUUUCUUUAUCCAUAUAUUUACAUAAGUUUCCUGCUUGUAUUUGGCUUCAUUUACACCUUAUACCAGCCAAGAUAGACAGCAGAAACCUAAGGGCCUGACUUGGAAUCUAUGGUGAAAAAAUAUUUCUAUUA